CCCCCCACGGCCCUGCUCUCACUCACAUUGGAGAUGUAUUCUUUGUAUGCUGCGCGGUCUUGGGGAGACAGGCUCUGGAGAGAAGAGCUGGGAGUCAGAGCACACCCCAUACUACUGCUGGACGUUCACUGGGCAGAGCACUCACGUACCAUCGCCUAUCUUUACCCUCAGCCUCCCCAAAUUCUGGGUCCCUACAGAGAGCUCUUAGGGGCUCAGAACACAAUCUUGAUUAUGCCUCAGGUACCUUUCUCUGGAGUCAACCUGAACUGAUAGCUAGUUUUCGUAUCAAUUUUCCCCAAGUGCUCUGCCCAAAUCAUAGCUCCGCACUCAGGACCUUCUAAACUCCAAAGCCUCCCCCAUGACUCAUGAGGCCCAGCACCAACCAACCCCACCUGGACCCUGGUCUUUGAGCCAUUGAUGAGAUAAUAUAGAGGCUGAGAAAAUUCUAGAACACUUAAUUCCCACAAUCUCUCUGGGUCUCUGGUCAACCUGAGAAGUGUCUCAGUGACAGGCAAUUCUCCUCACUGUACAGAUCUGACUAUUCAAAGCAGGGGAGAAAAAACAGAGACUCUGACAGCCUGGCCAGAGCUUAAGUCCACUGGUCCCGGCAGGAAAGAAAAAAAAUGCAGCUGAUGUGAAUUUUCUACCAACUAUGUAACCUUGGCAAAUUAUUUAAUACCUCGGCUUUCUUAGCUUUAAAAGUGCCAGUGCCCUGAAGGACUUCUGAGUCAAAGGAACCAUGAGUGAGGGCCAGCUAGCAGGAUCCCUCCCUGGCCUUCCUCUCUCUCACCUUGACCCAGAGGUCCAAGUGCACCUUGUACUGCUUCUGCUGUUCCUCGGCCAGCUUCUUAUAGUGUUCCUUCUGGCUCUGGGAGAUGCGCUGCCAGCGGCUGCCGAUCUCUACCAUGCGCUCCUUCAGCGGCAGGACCCGCUGCUGCUCCUCCUCGGGCAGGCUCUGAGCAGGAAGAACGGCACGGGUUGCAGCAGGCAGGUAAUCGGACUCAAGACUGCCUGCCAGGCUCACCCUCUGUCCACCAUGCUACUCACCUCAAGGAACCGUAGCAGUUCGACCUCAUAAUCUUUCUUUUUCUAGUAAAGUAAAGAGACUCCGUCA